rnacentral:rRNA from 1 species
AGUAGGGAAUAUUGGACAAUGGGCGCAAGCCUGAUCCAGCCAUGCCGCGUGAGUGAAGAAGGCCCUCGGGUUGUAAAGCUCUUUUGUCCGGAAAGAAAAGCAUUCGGUUAAUACCCGAGUGUUCUGACGGUACCGGAAGAAUAAGCACCGGCUAACUUCGUGCCAGCAGCCGCGGUAAUACGAAGGGUGCAAGCGUUACUCGGAAUUACUGGGCGUAAAGCGUGCGUAGGUGGUUUGUUAAGUCUGAUGUGAAAGCCCUGGGCUCAACCUGGGAAUGGCAUUGGAUACUGGCGAGCUAGAGUGCGGUAGAGGAUAGUGGAAUUCCUGGUGUAGCAGUGAAAUGCGUAGAGAUCAGGAGGAACAUCCGUGGCGAAGGCGACUGUCUGGACCAGCACUGACACUGAGGCACGAAAGCGUGGGGAGCAAA